rnacentral:tmRNA from 1 species
GGGGGCGUUUUUGGAUUCGACGGGGGUAGAUCGAGCAUGGGUAGCGGGUAGUGGGGACGCGGCCGCUUUAUCAACGCUAAAGCCUAUUAAAUGGCAAACAACAAAACAACUACGCUUUCGCAGCUUAAUAACCUGUGAGCGUGCUCCUCUCUUGCAUCGCCCAUGUGCCGGAUGUAGGGGCUAACCUAUAGUGGGAUACGCCGAUCGGUCUCCGCCUGGGGUCGACGGAAGAAGACAAUCAGGCUGACCCAAAGGGAAUCUUGUGACAGGGAGUCUCUAGGGUGACAUCAAAUCUGUCACUACACCCGUAGAAGCCUAUGUGGCGUUGCCUUCGGACAGGGGUUCGACUCCCCUCGCCUCCAU